rnacentral:rRNA from 1 species
UACAGAGGGUGCGAGCGUUGUUCGGAAUUAUUGGGCGUAAAGAGCUCGUAGGCGGUUCGUCGCGUCGGCUGUGAAAUCCCGAGGCUCAACCUCGGGUCUGCAGUCGAUACGGGCGGACUGGAGUUCGGCAGGGGAGACUGGAAUUCCUGGUGUAGCGGUGAAAUGCGCAGAUAUCAGGAGGAACACCGGUGGCGAAGGCGGGUCUCUGGGCCGAUGACUGACGCUGAGGAGCGAAAGCGUGGGGAGCGAACAGG